rnacentral:rRNA from 1 species
AUUGAACGCUGGCGGCAUGCCUUACACAUGCAAGUCGAACGGUAACAGGUCUUCGGAUGCUGACGAGUGGCGAACGGGUGAGUAAUACAUCGGAACGUGCCCAGUAAUGGGGGAUAGCCCGGCGAAAGCCGGAUUAAUACCGCAUACGCCCUGAGGGGGAAAGUGGGGGACCGCAAGGCCUCACGUUAUUGGAGCGGCCGAUGGCUGAUUAGCUAGUUGGUGAGGUAAAGGCUCACCAAGGCGGCGAUCAGUAGCUGGUCUGAGAGGACGAUCAGCCACACUGGGACUGAGACACGGCCCAGACUCCUACGGGAGGCAGCAGUGGGGAAUUUUGGACAAUGGGGGAAACCCUGAUCCAGCAAUGCCGCGUGUGCGAAGAAGGCCUUCGGGUUGUAAAGCACUUUUGUCAGGGAAGAAAUCCCUUGGGCUAAUACCCUAGGGGGAUGACGGUACCUGAAGAAUAAGCACCGGCUAACUACGUGCCAGCAGCCGCGGUAACAC